rnacentral:rRNA from 1 species
CAUACCUAUUCGAAGGGAUAGGGUCGGUUUGGCCGGAUUUCACACAGGUGUUGCAUGGCUGUCGUCAGCUCGUGUCGUGAGAUGUUGGGUUAAGUCCCGCAACGAGCGCAACCCUCAUCCUUAGUUACCAUCAGGUUAUGCUGGGGACUUUAAGGAAACUGCCAGUGAUAAACUGGAGGAAGGUGGGGAUGAUGUCAAGUCAUCAUGGCCCUUAUGGAGUGGGCUACACACGUGCUACAAUGGUGAUUACAAUGGGCUGCAAGGUCGCAAGGCUGAGCUAAUCCUAAAAAAUCAUCUCAGUUCGGAUUGUUCUCUGCAACUCGAGAGCAUGAAGUUGGAAUCGCUAGUAAUCGUGGAUCAGCAUGCCACGGUGAAUACGCUCUCGGGUCUUGUACACACUGCCCGUCACGCCAUGGGAAUUGGUUUCACUCGAAGCU